UGCAGUCGACGGUAACAUUUCUAGCUUGCUAGAAGAUGACGAGUGGCGGACGGGUGAGUAAUGCUUGGGAACUUGCCUUUGCGAGGGGGAUAACAGUUGGAAACGACUGCUAAUACCGCAUAAUGUCUUCGGACCAAACGGGGCUUCGGCUCCGGCGCAAAGAGAGGCCCAAGUGAGAUUAGCUAGUUGGUAAGGUAACGGCUUACCAAGGCGACGAUCUCUAGCUGUUCUGAGAGGAAGAUCAGCCACACUGGGACUGAGACACGGCCCAGACUCCUACGGGAGGCAGCAGUGGGGAAUAUUGCACAAUGGGGGAAACCCUGAUGCAGCCAUGCCGCGUGUGUGAAGAAGGCCUUCGGGUUGUAAAGCACUUUCAGUUGUGAGGAAAAGUUAGUAGUUAAUACCUGCUAGCCGUGACGUUAACAACAGAAGAAGCACCGGCUAACUCCGUGCCAGCAGCCGCGGUAAUACGGAGGGUGCGAGCGUUAAUCGGAAUUACUGGGCGUAAAGCGCACGCAGGCGGUUUGUUAAGCUAGAUGUGAAAGCCCCGGGCUCAACCUGGGAUGGUCAUUUAGAACUGGCAGACUAGAGUCUUGGAGAGGGGAGUGGAAUUCCAGGUGUAGCGGUGAAAUGCGUAGAUAUCUGGAGGAACAUCAGUGGCGAAGGCGACUCCCUGGCCAAAGACUGACGCUCAUGUGCGAAAGUGUGGGUAGCGAACAGGAUUAGAUACCCUGGUAGUCCACACCGUAAACGCUGUCUACUAGCUGUGUGUGCCUUUAAGGCGUGCGUA
rnacentral:rRNA from 1 species